GAGGGUAUAGCUCAGUGGUAGAAUGUGUGCUUAGCAUGCACAGGGUCCUGGGUGCAAUCCCCAUUACCUCUA
rnacentral:tRNA from 1 species